UCCCAGAUGGCUCAGACGGUAAAGCGUCUGCCCGCAAUGUGGCAGACCCAGGUUCAAUCCCUGGGUUGGGAA
rnacentral:tRNA from 1 species